rnacentral:rRNA from 1 species
UACGGAGGGAGCUAGCGUUGUUCGGAAUUACUGGGCGUAAAGCGCACGUAGGCGGCUUUGUAAGUUAGAGGUGAAAGCCCGGGGCUCAACUCCGGAACUGCCUUUAAGACUGCAUCGCUUGAAUCCAGGAGAGGUGAGUGGAACUGCGAGUGUAGAGGUGAAAUUCGUAGAUAUUCGCAAGAACACCAGUGGCGAAGGCGGCUCACUGGUCCGGUACUGACGCUGAGGUGCGAAAGCGUGGGGAGCAAACAGG